rnacentral:rRNA from 1 species
UACGAAGGGUGCAAGCGUUACUCGGAAUUACUGGGCGUAAAGCGUGCGUAGGUGGUUUGUUAAGUCUGAUGUGAAAGCCCUGGGCUCAACCUGGGAACUGCAUUGGAAACUGGCUGACUAGAGUGCGGUAGAGGGGUGUGGAAUUCCCGGUGUAGCAGUGAAAUGCGUAGAUAUCGGGAGGAACAUCUGUGGCGAAGGCGGCAUCCUGGACCAUUACUGACACUGAAAAGCGAAAGCCAGGGGAGCAAACGGG